CUGUCUCCUUUUUUUGAUCAGUGAAACUAAUCUCCCCGUGAAAAAGCGGGAAUUUACUUAUAAGACGAGAAGACCCUAUGGAGCUUUAAACAAAUUAACAUACGCUAUUACUUUAUUAUCUUAAGAGUUACAACAAAUAAUAUAGCAAUCUGAUUAAAAGUUUUCGAUUGGGGUGAUCACGGAGUAAAAAACAACCUCCACGUCGAACGGAUUAAAAUCCUGAACAAAAAGCUACAGCUUUAUGCACUAAUACAUUAACGCCUUUGACCCAUUUUUUGAUCAACGAACCAAGUUACCCUAGGGAUAACAGCGCAAUCUGCUUCGAGAGCCCCUAUCGACAAGCGGGUUUACGACCUCGAUGUUGGAUCAGGGUAUCCCAGUGGUGCAGCCGCUACUAAUGGUUCGUUUGUUCAACGAUUAAAACCCUACGUGAUCUGAGUUCAGAC
rnacentral:rRNA from 1 species